rnacentral:lncRNA from 1 species
AAACUCAUUUAUGAGUUGCUAUUAAAUUAGUUCUAGUCUAAGCAGAAGCUUAAGUUUGUAUUUCUUAUGUUCAAGUUGUGUGAUCUUUUUUCAGUUUCUUUGUCUUGUGUUGUUUAUCUUUGUGUUAUAAGAAGAAGAUUCGAUGUCCAUCAAUAUCUUUGUAUUGUCUUGUUCUCUGUUGUCUUGUGUUGUCAUGAGGUUGUCUUGUUCUCUGUUGGAUUGUGUUCUCAUGAGAUUGCCAUGUUAUUUUCAGGUCAAACAAGAGUGGCAAAAUCACGGACUAGCUCAGUCAUCAGUCACGGACCCUUGUUGUAUUAUUCUGUCUACAAUAUAGUUUUGUUUUUUUUGUGUAAAUGAGUAGCUGCAAAGUCUUCUAUAAACUUAUUAUUGUAUCACGAGUUUUGUAUUAUUGUGUCACGAGUUUUGCAGCUUCUAUUAUUGUGGCAUUCUAUUUAAACCCUACUCAUCACACACUCAUCACAACCUCAACCCUCAUUUAUUCUUCUCAUUCUCCCGGACUCAUCACAUACUCAUCACAACCUCAAUCCUCA